rnacentral:piRNA from 1 species
UAUGUCUAAGGUCCCUGUAGUUGUGGUU